UAGUUUCGGAUUGAGAGUCCUAGCUA
rnacentral:sRNA from 1 species